rnacentral:rRNA from 1 species
GAGAAGGGUUGUUAAGGAACUCGGCAGAUUGACCCCGUAACUUCGGGAUAAGGGGCGCCUGCGAGAGCAGGCCGCAGUGAAAAGGCCCAAGCGACUGUUUAGCAAAAACACAGCUCUCUGCUAAAUCGAAAGAUGACGUAUAGGGGGUGACGCCUGCCCGGUGCUGGAAGGUUAAGGGGAGUGCUUAGCAGCAAUGCGAAGGUGCGAACUUAAGCCCCAGUAAACGGCGGCCGUAACUAUAACGGUCCUAAGGUAGCGAAAUUCCUUGUCAGGUAAGUUCUGACCCGCACGAAUGGCGUAACGAUUUGGGCACUGUCUCAACAGCCCGCCCGGCGAAAUUGUAGUACCGGUGAAGAUGCCGGUUUCCCGCAACUAGACGGAAAGACCCCAUGGAGCUUCACUGUAGCUUGAUAUUGGAUCUCGGUAUUCCAUGUACAGGAUAGGUGGGAGACUUGGAAGUAAGCGCGCCAGCGUUUAUGGAGUCAACCUUGGGAUACCACUCUUGGGAUAUUGGGAUUCUAACCUGCGACCAUGAAUCUGGUCGGGGGACACUGUCAGGUGGGCAGUUUGACUGGGGCGGUCGCCUCCAAAAGAGUAACGGAGGCGCUCAAAGGUUCGUUCAGCACGGAUGGAAAUCGUGCACUGAGUGUAAACGCAUAAACGAGCCUAACUGCGAGAAUGACGGUUCGAGCAGUAACGAAAGUUGGAGUUAGUGAUCCGGCGGUAUGUGAAUGGAAAUGCCGUCGCUCAACGGAUAAAAGCUACCCUGGGGAUAACAGGCUGAUCUCCCCCAAGAGUCCACAUCGACGGGGAGGUUUGGCACCUCGAUGUCGGCUCAUCGCAUCCUGGGGCUGAAUUCGGUCCCAAGGGUUUGGCUGUUCGCCAAUUAAAGCGGUACGCGAGCUGGGUUCAGAACGUCGUGAGACAGUUCGGUCCCUAUCUGUUGCGGGCGUAGGAAUAUUGAGAGGAGCUGUCCUUAGUACGAGAGGACCGGGAUGGACGUACCGCUGGUGCACCAGUUGUUCUGCCAAGGGCAUAGCUGGGUAGCUAAGUACGGACGAGAUAAACGCUGAAGGCAUCUAAGCGUGAACUCCCCUCGAGAU